rnacentral:rRNA from 1 species
AUUGAACGCUGGCGGAAUGCUUUACACAUGCAAGUCGAACGGCAGCACGGGGCAACCUGGUGGCGAGUGGCGAACGGGUGAGUAAUACAUCGGAACGUGCCCAGUCGUGGGGGAUAACGUAGCGAAAGUUACGCUAAUACCGCAUACGAUCUAUGGAUGAAAGCGGGGGAUCGCAAGACCUCGCGCGAUUGGAGCGGCCGAUGUCAGAUUAGGUAGUUGGUGGGGUAAAGGCCUACCAAGCCGACGAUCUGUAGCUGGUCUGAGAGGACGACCAGCCACACUGGGACUGAGACACGGCCCAGACUCCUACGGGAGGCAGCAGUGGGGAAUUUUGGACAAUGGGCGCAAGCCUGAUCCAGCCAUUCCGCGUGCAGGAUGAAGGCCUUCGGGUUGUAAACUGCUUUUGUACGGAACGAAAAGGCUCUGGUUAAUACCUGGGGCUCAUGACGGUACCGUAAGAAUAAGCACCGGCUAACUACGUUACAGCAGCCGCCGUAAGAC